GAGAAACUGAUGCCACCACAGAAACCCUUAACAUUUUGUUUUAAUCAAUUUUCAGGAAAUAGCUGAUAAUGAAGAUUCAGGGAAGUGCGCCCCACCUCCUGUUGAAACUUUGAAGGAAUAUGGUUUUGGUGAACAUCGAUAUUUUUAUUUCAUUGUAGUUGAAGACACAUCUGAUAAAGAUGGUCCAUUACAUCUAACUGGAUUUCUCCUCUAUUCUCAUGCAUUCUCUACUGAGACUGGACCAAUUCUGAAUCUCCGCUACGUGUAUAUAACACCAUCUUACAGGAAAAAGGGAUCAGCAAAAGAAAUGUGGAAGUACUUCCUAAAGCUGGCAAUCAAGGGAAAUUUCGGCAGAGUCCAGUGGAUAGCAAAGGGAUCUGAUUCUCUGGUCCUGCGAUACUCCCAGAACUACGGAUUGAGUAACAUUAUCAAACGUGAAGGCUGGUACUUGUUUAAUAUGAGCAAGUCAAAGAUUACAGCUAUGAAAUAAUAGACGUGCUUCCUAUGUGCUUUCAACAAGAUCCUAAUCAGUAUUUCAAUCACCAAAUUACCAAAACUUACCGAUUACCAAUUUUUACCUCUAUAAUUUAAGAAGAUCAUGUAGAAAUAUACACACACGCGGAAACACUUACAAACCUGCACGUAAAAGCAGACACAAAAUAAUUUACACAAAUACAUAUACACACACACACACACACAAACAUACACACAAACACACACACACAUGCACAAAAAUGUAUACCAAUAUAUACCCACAAA